rnacentral:rRNA from 1 species
UAAAGAUUCAUCGCUGAUAGAUAGGCAUGCGUUCCAUUAGGCAGUUGGCGGGGUAACGGCCCACCAAACCGACGAUGGAUAGGGGUUCUGAGAGGAAGGUCCCCCACAUUGGUACUGAGACACGGACCAAACUCCUACGGGAGGCAGCAGUGAGGAAUAUUGGUCAAUGGGCGUAAGCCUGAACCAGCCAAGUCGCGUGAGGGAUGAAGGUUCUAUGGAUCGUAAACCUCUUUUAUAAGGGAAUAAAGUGUGGGACGUGUCCUGUUUUGUAUGUACCUUAUGAAUAAGGAUCGGCUAACUCCGUGCCAGCAGCCGCGGUAAUACGGAGGAUCCGAGCGUUAUCCGGAUUUAUUGGGUUUAAAGGGUGCGUAGGCGGCCUUUUAAGUCAGCGGUGAAAGUCUGUGGCUCAACCAUAGAAUUGCCGUUGAAACUGGGAGGCUUGAGUAUGUUUGAGGCAGGCGGAAUGCGUGGUGUAGCGGUGAAAUGCUUAGAUAUCACGCAGAACCCCGAUUGCGAAGGCAGCCUGCCAAGCCAUGACUGACGCUGAUGCACGAAAGCGUGGGGAUCAAACAGGAUUAGAUACCCUGGUAGUCCACGCACUAAACGAUGAUCACUAGCUGUUUGCGAU